rnacentral:rRNA from 1 species
GGAAGGUGGGGACGACGUCAAGUCAUCAUGGCCCUUACGACCAGGGCUACACACGUGCUACAAUGGCGUAUACAAAGGGAAGCGAAGGUGCGAGCUGGAGCGGAUCUCAUAAAGUACGUCUAAGUUCGGAUUGGAGUCUGCAACUCGACUCCAUGAAGUCGGAAUCGCUAGUAAUCGUAGAUCAGAAUGCUACGGUGAAUACGUUCCCGGGCCUUGUACACACCGCCCGUCACACCAUGGGAGUGGGUUGCACCAGAAGUAGAUAGCUUAACCGCGAGGGGGGCGUUUACCACGGUGUGAUUCAUGACUGGGGUGAAGUCGUAACAAGGUAACCA